AUUGAACGCUGGCGGCAUGCUUUACACAUGCAAGUCGAACGGUAACAGGGUGCUUGCACCGCUGACGAGUGGCGAACGGGUGAGUAAUGCGUCGGAACGUGCCGAGUAGUGGGGGAUAACGCAGCGAAAGUUGUGCUAAUACCGCAUACGUACUGAGGUAGAAAGUGGGGGACCUUCGGGCCUCACGCUAUUCGAGCGGCCGACGUCUGAUUAGCUAGUAGGUGAGGUAAAGGCUCACCUAGGCGACGAUCAGUAGCGGGUCUGAGAGGAUGAUCCGCCACACUGGGACUGAGACACGGCCCAGACUCCUACGGGAGGCAGCAGUGGGGAAUUUUGGACAAUGGGCGAAAGCCUGAUCCAGCCAUGCCGCGUGUCUGAAGAAGG
rnacentral:rRNA from 1 species